UACGUAGGGACCAAGCGUUGUCCGGAAUCAUUGGGCGUAAAGAGCGUGUAGGCGGCUUGUUAAGUCUUGCGUGAAAUCUCGGGGCUCAACCCCGAGCGGUCGUGAGAAACUGGCAGGCUAGAGUGCGGGAGAGGAGAGUGGAAUUCCUGGUGUAGCGGUGAAAUGCGCAGAUAUCGGGAGGAACACCGGUGGCGAAGGCGGCCUGCUGGGCAGUGGCUGACGCUGAGGCGCGACAGCGUGGGGAGCAAACAGG
rnacentral:rRNA from 1 species